rnacentral:lncRNA from 1 species
GGUGUGGGGGUGUGAAGGGGGGGGUGAUGCCAAUAAUCUGUGUCCAGGGGGAGGGAGGGGGGGGAAACGGGGGUGACCCCAAUAAUCUGUGUUCCCCCCUCCCCUCCCAGCGCUGAUGGCUGAUGGCCUGGCCGUACUGGGGACCCCCCCACGUCCCCUCGCCCCGAAACCCCUGCAGGAGGAGACCAAGGGGUGCCUGGGGGCCCCCCCCACCCAGGGUGGACGUCUGGGGAGCAACUGAGGAAGGGGGGGGCGCAUGUGGAAGGCCGCCCCCCCCCAAAAACCACGUACUCCUCCCCACCUUGAUGGGGACCCCAAAACAUCCCCCCCCACAAAAAAACCCAAGGAGGAGGAGGAGAGAGCCGAAUCACCCCCCUGAUACCCAAUGGGGGACCCCCCCAAAAAAACAGCCCCCCCCUUGCAAUGCAACCUACAAGUGUGGGGGGGGGCCCGACUCAGUGCCCCCCCCUCAAAUCCAUGUCCCCAGUUAUGGGGGGGCACAAAAAGCCAUGAUGUCUCCCCCAGACCUUGGGGUGUGGGCCCCCCCUUCAAUGCCCCCCCCUUCAACGCCCCCCCCUCCGCCAGCCCCCUGUCCUUGGGGGCUUUGACCCGCCCCUGCUGGGGGGGGACACCCCUCCCACCAAGCUGGCCCCCCCCAUUCAUGGGACCCCGCCCCCAGAGCCCCACCUGGGGAACACCCCUCGGAUCUCCCCCCCCAGCUCUGAGGACCCCCCCAGAGCGCCCCCUCCCCCAAAUUUGGGACCCUUCAAUCCCCCCAAAUCCUGCCUGAUAGGGGACCCCUCCAACCCCUCACUUUGGGGGGGGUCCCCCAGUCCUCCCAUGGGGCCUCCUAGAGCCCCCCCUCCUACCUCGGUCUGGCCCCCUCGGGGGGCCCAUCCCCCCACUUGGUGCUGGGCUGAAAAUGCCCUUUUGGGGGGGGGCCCUGGGGAGCCCCCCCCCUUUCCCCCCUCUCCCCCCAAAUCAGGGACCACCGGGGCAGCGCCCCCACCCCCGGGGACCCCCCCUUUAUACUGCUCUGUCCUGUGCACCCCCAGAGCUCUGGAGAUGCACUCGUGCAAGAGCCUCGUGCGAGAGCCAUCCUCGUGCAAGGGUCUUGUGAGAGCUUCCUUUGUGCAAGGACCUUGUGCGAGAGCCUCGUGCAAGAGCCACCCCUGUGCAAGAGCCUUGUGGGAAGCCCCCUGUGCACGAGUCUCAUGCAAGAGCUACCCUUGUGCAAGAGCCUUGACCAGAGCUGUCCUCGUGCAAGGGCCUCACGCGAGAGCUGCCCUUGUGGGAGAGCCUUGUGAGGGAGCCAGCUGUGUACAAGAGCCUUGUGUGGAUCUCGUGCGCAAAUCUCAUGUGAGAGCCACCAUCGUGCAAGAGCCAUCCUCUUGCGAGAGCCACUUGUGUACAGGAGCCUUGUGCGAAGACUUUGUGCCUGAGUCUUGUGCAGGAGCCACCCUUGUGCAAGAGCCUUGUGCGAAGGCCUGCCACAAGAGCCUUCGGGGUGAGCCACCCUCGUGCAAGAGCCCCCUCCCACCCCCCAUGUGCCUCCCCCAACCCUUCACCCCACUCC